CAGUGGAACUCCCAUGUGUAGCGGUGAAAUGCGUAGAUAUAUGGAAGAACACCAGUGGCGAAGGCGGCUGUCUGGUCUGUAACUGACGCUGAGGCUCGAAAGUAUGGGUAGCAAACAGGAUUAGAUACCCUGGUAGUCCAUACCGUAAACGAUGAAUGCUAAGUGUUGGAGGGUUUCCGCCCUUCAGUGCUGCAGCUAACGCAUUAAGCAUUCCGCCUGGGGAGUACGGCCGCAAGGCUGAAACUCAAAGGAAUUGACGGGGGCCCGCACAAGCGGUGGAGCAUGUGGUUUAAUUCGAAGCUACGCGAAGAACCUUACCAGGUCUUGACAUACUAUGCAAAUCUAAGAGAUUAGACGUUCCCUUCGGGGACAUGGAUACAGGUGGUGCAUGGUUGUCGUCAGCUCGUGUCGUGAGAUGUUGGGUUAAGUCCCGCAACGAGCGCAACCCUUAUUAUCAGUUGCCAGCAUUAAGUUGGGCACUCUGGUGAGACUGCCGGUGACAAACCGGAGGAAGGUGGGGAUGACGUCAAAUCAUCAUGCCCCUUAUGACCUGGGCUACACACGUGCUACAAUGGAUGGUACAACGAGUUGCGAACUCGCGAGAGUAAGCUAAUCUCUUAAAGCCAUUCUCAGUUCGGAUUGUAGGCUGCAACUCGCCUACAUGAAGUCGGAAUCGCUAGUAAUCGCGGAUCAGCAUGCCGCGGUGAAUACGUUCCCGGGCCUUGUACACACCGCCCGUCACACCAUGAGAGUUUGUAACACCCAAAGUCGGUGGGGUAACCUUUUAGGAACCAGCCGCCUAAGG
rnacentral:rRNA from 2 species